GGGGUUUUAGCUCAGUUGGGAGAGCGCUUGANNAGAGGUCAGGGGUUCGAAUCCCCUAAGCUCCACCA
rnacentral:tRNA from 1 species